CGCUCGCUAUAACUCCAUCGUGACCGUGGUGAACUGUGAGGAUUGGAUAGAGCAUAUCUGUUAUGUUUAGGCAGAUAAGCCCAUCAUAGACAUACAUCAAAUUCUGGAGAUGCCUAAAUGGAGACUUCUUUGGGAUGUUGAGUGUUGAAGCAACUAGUUCCAUCAAGAAUGGGUGGUUUUUCCUGAAUUUCUACAGUGAAAAUAACUGGACUAAAACAACGAGAACUGUUCAUAUAGUGCAGACAUAUCAGUCAUUCAAGAAGGUCUUCAGUUGAACGGUCAACCAUACUGAUAGUGCAUGAAAAUUAUAGGAAGAUAAUAUUUCCAUGAAGCAGUACAGAAUCGUUUCCAUCUCAGGCAAUUCUUCAACAGAUUCCAGGUUUACAUGUACUAAUUCCAAGCUGUUGUGGAUCAACCAGAAGAAAUUAAAUUAAAGUAUCCAUCGUCCUAAAUGAUCCGCCAAAGUAGCUUCCCAUAAUUGGCAUGAUAUUUAAACAACUUUGGUACUUUAUUUUAAAAUAUAUAUCAGUCAACUCUUGAGAAUAGAAAAAAGUCUUGAUUUUAAUGAUAUUUUCUCAUUUUAUUACUGAAGUUCAACUUUGUUAUUUUGGGCUCUCUGCCAGUUAUAUUUUUUAUUAUAUAUUUGUGAAUUACUAUAUGUAUUAUAAUAAUAACUUAUCACUGCUGCCAUAACUUGUCGAAGGUUCUACAAUGUCUGAUUUUUUAUUAUGUGAAUUAAAAUUUGGGGCUAUGUUAAGCUUCUGAUAUCAUGGAUAUAGUGCAUAAAUACAGGAAAAUAAUAAUGAUAAUUACUGUAUUGCUGCUGGAAUUAGCCACUUUUAUGUGAAUGUACAUAGUCUUGAUCACAUCAUAUUUGUUAUUACAUACAUGUAAAAGAUGGAGGUAACAAACACUUUUUAAAAGUGAUAAAUCUCAUAAAUGUACAUAUAGUAAACAAAGCAAAUCUUGUACAGGGCAAAAACAUGGUCCCCUGAUAACACCAAAGGUUUGGGGUGCAUUGAAGAGUUAAUAUUCUAUAUUAUUAGGAGGUUUAUUUGCAGAAUUUUGUACCUUUAUGAAAUGAAUGUAAUUAAAGUGAGAAACCAUGUU